AGCCUGGUAUUUAGGAAGAGUAAUUUGCCAUGGAUGCAACUUUCAUGAAACAAUUUCCAGUAGUUGUCCAUUGAUCUAAUAGCUAUGAUAUUAAUUUGUCACAGAAACCUUUAGAUUAGGGUUUUUGAUCUAAGAACUUAGAAGAGAAGAAGAGAAAGAAGAGAGGGAGAAGAAAGGUAGCAGAGAAUAGAGAAUUUGGAGAAACAUUAUACAAAAUGGGAGAAAAGAGUAUUCUUUAUUGAUCUUCAUUGAUGACCAAUUUUACAGGUACAUUUCCUAUGUAUAGUGCAAUCCUAUAACUGUUCUAGUAACUCUCUAACUACUAAACUACUUUAGCUAUGUUUCUAGCCCAGACCCUCUUAUCUACUCUCUAAUUGCUUAGCUACUUCAGUUAUAUUUCCAUCUCAGUCCCACUUAUGUACUUAUGUGACAUAGUAUUGUUGAUACCCAUCUCAUCUCGAAUUCCAAACUCAAUCGAAGGUACCAAAUUGCUUGAAGGGUCACAUUGAACCAUG
rnacentral:misc_RNA from 1 species